AGUGAACGCUGGCGGUAGGCCUAACACAUGCAAGUCGAACGGCAGCACAGUAAGAGCUUGCUCUUACGGGUGGCGAGUGGCGGACGGGUGAGGAAUACAUCGGAAUCUACUUUUUCGUGGGGGAUAACGUAGGGAAACUUACGCUAAUACCGCAUACGACCUACGGGUGAAAGCAGGGGAUCUUCGGACCUUGCGCGAUUGAAUGAGCCGAUGUCGGAUUAGCUAGUUGGCGGGGUAAAGGCCCACCAAGGCGACGAUCCGUAGCUGGUCUUAGAGGAUGAUCAGCCACACUGGAACUGAGACACGGUCCAGACUCCUACGGGAGGCAGCAGUGGGGAAUAUUGGACAAUGGGCGCAAGCCUGAUCCAGCCAUACCGCGUGGGUGAAGAAGGCCUUCGGGUUGUAAAGCCCUUUUGUUGGGAAAGAAAAGCAGCAGGUUAAUACCCCGCUGUUCUGACGGUACCCAAAGAGUAAGCACCGGCUAACUUCGUG
rnacentral:rRNA from 1 species